UACAGAGGGGGGCCAGCGUUAUUCGGAAUUAUUGGGCGUAAAGGGCGCGUAGGCGGCCAUGCGUGUCUUCCGUGAAAUCCCUCGGCUUAACCGAGGACGUGCGGAAGAAACUGCAAGGCUCGAGUCCGGAAGAGGGGGGCGGAAUUCCCAGUGUAGCGGUGAAAUGCGUAGAUAUUGGGAGGAACACCAGUGGCGAAGGCGGUCCCCUGGGCCGGAACUGACGCUGAGGCGCGAAGGCGUGGGUAGCAAACGGGG
rnacentral:rRNA from 1 species